rnacentral:misc_RNA from 1 species
GAUGAAGAACGUAGUGAAAUGCGAUAAGUAAUGUGAAUUGCAGAAUUCAGUGAAUCAUCGAAUCUUUGAACGCACCUUGCGCUCCCUGGUAUUCCGGGGAGCACGCCUGUUCGAGUGUCGCGAAAUUCUUCAAGCCUUGGAUGGAUUUUUUUUGUCUGUCCUUGGGCUUGGUUGUUGGGCUCUGCCGUGUCCUUCAUUGGGACGGCUGGCCUUAAAAGCAUUAGCCGAUCCUCGUGUGGUACUGGUUCUACUCAGCGUGAUAACAAUCUGAUCGUUGAGGACAUCUUCUGGAUGGCCAGUCAUCAUUUGGGUUGCUUCUAAACCGGUUUCGCAGAUUGCUCAAUCUGUGUGCCACUUUUCAGCUUUGACCUCGAAUCAGGUGGGACUACCCGCUGAACUUAAGCAUAUCAAUAAGCGGAGA